AUUGAACGCUGGCGGCAUGCCUUACACAUGCAAGUCGAACGGCAGCGGGCCUUCGGGUGCCGGCGAGUGGCGAACGGGUGAGUAAUGCAUCGGAACGUGCCAUUGAGUGGGGGGAUAACGUAGCGAAAGUUACGCUAAUACCGCAUAUUCUGUGAGCAGGAAAGCAGGGGACCGCAAGGCCUUGCGCUCUUUGAGCGGCCGAUGUCAGAUUAGCUAGUUGGUGAGGUAAAGGCUUACCAAGGCGACGAUCUGUAGCGGGUCUGAGAGGAUGAUCCGCCACACUGGAACUGAGACACGGUCCAGACUCCUACGGGAGGCAGCAGUGGGGAAUUUUGGACAAUGGGCGCAAGCCUGAUCCAGCCAUGCCGCGUGAGUGAAGAAGGCCUUCGGUUGUAAAGCUCUUUCGGCCGGGAACGAAAGUACGCAUGGGUUAAUACCCUGUGUGGAUGACGGUACCGGAAUAAGAAGACACCGGCUAACUACGUAGCCAGCAGCCGCGGUAA
rnacentral:rRNA from 1 species